AUUGAACGCCGGCGGCAUGCCUUACACAUGCAAGUCGAACGGCAGCACGGGGCAACCUGGUGGCGAGUGGCGAACGGGUGAGUAAUGCAUCGGAACGUACCUUUCAGUGGGGGAUAACGUAGCGAAAGUUACGCUAAUACCGCAUAUUCUGUGAGCAGGAAAGCAGGGGAUCGCAAGACCUUGCGCUGAUUGAGCGGCCGAUGUCAGAUUAGCUAGUUGGUGAGGUAAAGGCUCACCAAGGCGACGAUCUGUAGCGGGUCUGAGAGGAUGAUCCGCCACACUGGAACUGAGACACGGUCCAGACUCCUACGGGAGGCAGCAGUGGGGAAUUUUGGACAAUGGGGGCAACCCUGAUCCAGCCAUGCCGCGUGAGUGAAGAAGGCCUUCGGGUUGUAAAGCUCUUUCGGCCGGGAAGAAAUCGCACGGGCUAAUACCCUGUGUGGAUGACGAUACCGGAAUAAGAAGCACCGGCUAACUACGUGCCAGCCGCCGCGGUAAUAC
rnacentral:rRNA from 1 species